GUGAAAACAUAUUACCAUGGAUUUUGUGAUAGGAUCGCUAAGGCAUGGUAAGGACAUGAUGCCAUUUGGGUAAUUGUUGACAGGCUUACCAAGUUUUCCCACUUCUUGGCCAUCAGGAUGAUCGAUCCAUUAGACAAGUUGACAAGAAUGUACAUCCUGAAAAUAGUCAGAUUACAUAGAGUAUUAGUGACAGUAGUGUCUGACAGGGACCUCAGGUUCACUUCUCGGUUAUGUUUUAGCUUCCAGCAAGUUAUGGGAAUGAAACUGUCCUUAAUACUACAUUCCACCCUUACACCGAUGGACAGUCAGAAAGGAUGAUCUGCACAUUUGAGGAUAUGCUUCGAGCAUGCGUUCUUGACUUUAGGGGCCAUUGUGAUGACCAUUUACCCCUGAUAGAGUUCGACUACAACAACAGUUACUAAGUAAGUAUUGGCAUGGCUCUGUACGAGACAUUGUAUGGCCGCCAAUGUAGAUCGUUGAUUUGUUGGGAAGAAGUGGGUGAUAGAAAACUAUUCGGCUCAGACCUUGUAAUGGAGAUUACAACCAAAAUCGUUAAGAUUAGGAAGAAAGAAUAUUCAGAAGGUUCAGAGCAGGCAUAAGAGUUAUGCGAACACUCAGAGGAUGGACUUGAAAUUUGAGAAAGACGAUCGGGUGUUCUUUAAGGUCACUCAUUUCAAGGGAAUUAGCAGGUUUGACAAGAGUGAAAAACUAAGCUCCUACUUUAUUGGACCAUUUGAGAUUUUAGACAGAAUUGGUACCGCCGCCUACAGACUGCCACUAGCUCCAGAACUUUUCAGGAUCGAUAAUGUGUUUCAUGUGUCUAUGCUAUGCAAGUACAACUUGGACCUCUCUCACGUCUUGGCCUACGAGCCUCUUCCACUCCAGGAGGAUAUGUCAUACGAGGGAGUACCGGUCGGUAUUGUAGAUCGAAAGAGCAGAUUACUCUGCAACCAGAAAAUUCUUUUUGUUAAGGUCAUAUAACAGAAUCACACACUGAGAGAGGCCACAUGGGAGCUAGAAUUGGAUUUCAGAGGCCAACAUCUCCAACUGUUUGAUUGUGAGUGAGAGAGACUAAUUUGAGGGACCAAAUUUCUUUUAAGGGCGGGAGAGUUAUAAUGCCCAAAUUUAAUUUCGGAAAAAGGGAGUUAAAAUGCAAUUUAGAAAACUUAUGCCUCAUAGGAUGCUUGAUCAGCAGCCCCGACGAACUAGAAUGCACUGCGUGGUAUCGGACACUGACACGGUGCCACGCGUGAGAUUUGCGUGCCUGCGAUCGAAUGACCUAGAUCCGUUCUCACAUUCAUGGACGACCUGGAUGCAUUCCCUCCCCAAAUGCAAUCGGACAGUUAGAUUUAAACAGGAUCAACGGUCCAGAUCUAUAUCCUAUUUAAACGCAAUCGGACGGUCCAGAUUGGAUCGCGAUGGACAAUCCAGAUUUACUCCCUAUUUAAUCGCGAUCGGAUGGUUCAGAUCAAACACGAUGGACGACCCAAAUUAAAUGGAGACGGAUAUAAAUAACUCUCUUUACACCAAACCCUAACCUUAGCCGCCAGACACCUUCGCUGGAGAAGAAGACCCAGCCGUCGGGAAUGAGAGCCAUCGCCACCCGCUGUUGCACCAGAGCUACUUCCGAUUGCCAAAAAAGGUUGACCGGAGCAAAACACCUAACUGUAACGUGAGCCGAAGGAGCUGCUGCACUAGAGAGCCCUGCUGCAAGGAUUGAUACAAAAUCGGCCAAAAAUAGCCGACUCGAGUUGGACCGUCGCCGUGGGCGACGACGCCAUUGCCGAAGCACUGCGGAGCUGUCGUGCCAGAAUUAUGAAAUUGGCCAAAAAUGGGUCCUGAGACUGAUUUUAAAUUUUUGAGAUAUUUGUAGGUAUUUUUAGCACAUUUUAAUUCCCAAAGAAAAAAUUUAGAGAACCAGUGGGACCGCUAGUAGGCGCAGUCAACAGUUUAGCUUUUCGGGUAUCAAAUUGUAUCAAGAAUACCAAGAUCCAAAACCCGAUCCACAAAAGAGUUGCGAGGAAGAUGCUAGUUUUAUUUAUUUUCUACUUAUUUCCUUAUUUUCUUUGUAUUUCUUUCAAAAAGGUAAUUACCGUAGCACUAUUCGGUACUUUAAGUUAUUGUGUAAGGAAUGUAAACUUUAACCAUUCAUUUUAGUUUUGCGUUUAAUUUAUAAUUUAUUUCAUUUGGACAUUUUAGGGUCUUUACAAUUACUCUAUAUAGGGGAGAACGUUAUUCUAUAGGUCGUUUUUAUAAAUCUCGUUAUGGUAAGUGGAUGAUAAAGAUUUUGGUUAUCAUAAAUGAAUUUGUUUAAUUAAGUAUCUCAUUACUUGUUUUGCUUUUCUACAAAUCUUCAUUUCUGUGUCGGU